rnacentral:lncRNA from 1 species
AUGUGUGCUCGUGCAAUAUGAGUAGUAUAUCGUGCCUGUCCAAGUGCCCCUACCAGAAGGACAGUGGUCAUCCCCUUAAGGGCACCAAGAGCUACUAGGUACUUCGCCCAUUUCAUUCCUACACUCUGAAAUGCCACAGAAUAAGCAGCAUCUGGAUCUAAAUCGCUGUAUUUUUGCAUCAUACUUAGGGAGAGUGCCAUCAAGCAAUAUAUAACAGUGAUGAUUGACAUUGAUCCAAGUAAUCCUAAAGGUAUGUCUCUUGAUGGGUUUUUUGUUUCUUCAGCCAUGGUGGCAAUGUUAUCAAAUCCACCAUAAGCAAAGUAAACAAUAGCAGCUGCUUCAAAGAUCCCUUGGACUCCUUCAGGCAAAAAGGGUGUCAAAUUUGAUGUGUUGGCAUGAGCAAACCCUGCAAUUAUCACAAACAAGAUUACGACAGUAUUCAGUGCAGUUGCUAUCCAAUUUAAUUGUGAAGUUUUCCUUGUGCUGAUCAUUGCAAUGCUUGCAGAAAUUGCCAAAACUGCAACUGCAAUGGGGUCUAAGAGAUUAUAUCCCUUUCUGAAAUUUGUAUGGAUACGUAGUGAGUUUGGUUGACGGUUCAGGAGAGUUGUGAAGUAAGAAGUCCAUGCUCUGGCAACUGCUGCACUUCCAACAAUGCUUUCAAGAAGUAUGUUUCCAGCUGUGAUGAAUGCCACAAAAUCUCCUAAUUCAAUUCUUAGAUAAGCAAAUGAUCCGCCUGCCACUGGGAUCUCUACUGCAAACUCUGUAUAGCAGAAUACAGAAAGCAUUGCCGAAAUACCUGAGGCAACAUACGACAAGACAAUAGCUGGU